GAUUAAGUUAUUAAGGGCGCACGGUGGAUGCCUUGGCACUAGAAGCCGAUGAAGGACGUUACUAACGACGAUAUGCUUUGGGGAGCUGUAAGUAAGCUUUGAUCCAGAGAUUUCCGAAUGGGGAAACCCAGCACGAGUUAUGUCGUGUUAUCUGCAUGUGAAUACAUAGCAUGCAAGAAGGCAGACCCGGAGAACUGAAACAUCUUAGUACCCGGAGGAAGAGAAAGAAAAAUCGAUUCCCUGAGUAGCGGCGAGCGAAACGGGAAGAGCCCAAACCAAUAAGCUUGCUUAUUGGGGUUGUAGGACACUCUGUAC
rnacentral:rRNA from 1 species